CCUACGGGGUGCAGCAGUGAGGAAUAUUGGUCAAUGGCCGAGAGGCUGAACCAGCCAAGUCGCGUGAGGGAAGACGGUCCUAUGGAUUGUAAACCUCUUUUGUCGGGGAGCAAAAGACGCCACGCGUGGCGUUCCGAGAGUACCCGAAGAAAAAGCAUCGGCUAACUCCGUGCCAGCAGCCGCGGUAAUACGGAGGAUGCGAGCGUUAUCCGGAUUUAUUGGGUUUAAAGGGAGCGUAGGUGGAUUGUUAAGUCAGUUGUGAAAGUUUGCGGCUCAACCGUAAAAUUGCAGUUGAAACUGGCAGUCUUGAGUACAGUAGAGGUGGGCGGAAUUCGUGGUGUAGCGGUGAAAUGCUUAGAUAUCACGAAGAACUCCGAUUGCGAAGGCAGCUCACUGGACUGCAACUGACACUGAGGCUCGAAAGUGUGGGUAUCAAACAGGAUUAGAUACCCGGGUAGUC
rnacentral:rRNA from 1 species